UCGCAAUUUAGAAGCAAGUAUUUCUACCCUACUCCUCUAGUACCUAUAGAUACUAAAACCUUCUUUAUAUCAUGAUUCAAAUUAUUUGCAAUUACUUUCUUGUGAAGCAUAUCUAGUACUUUUAAACCUUUUGGUUGAACGGAUAACACUUUUGGUAUCGACUCUACACUAUGAUAUGCAUAAAGAAAUUGUUUUAACAAAAUGUUGUUCUGGCUCUUGAAUUACAUGAUAGAACUGCAGAUUGUUUUAAAAAUUAAACUGUUGGGUUGUUUUUGCGUAAGAGGCUCGGGCACCGGCCCAGCGUGAAAGGUGGCUCCUUAAGCCCGGAUUACCGGAAUUCGUAAUAUUUGUCAACCUUGCUGAAUAAGCUUGGUUUAUGGACUAUAGCAUGACUGAUCAUCUGUUAUAGCCAGGUGUCCAAUUAAUUUUAAAGCCCAAUAAAAUUGUGAAUAGUUUAAAAAGAAGUUACCCUGCCUUCAAGAGAUAUUUGCUUAUACAUUCAUUUCUGCAGUUUUAAAUAUUUUCACUUCUUUAUUAUGGCAUUGCUGUACAACAAAUAUCAAUUUCAUUUUGUUAUUCUUGCUGAGCAUUAUUGCUCAUUCUUGCUAUUCCUUCUAACCCUUUUCAGCUAGGAAUAAAGAUGAUUCACUUAAGACUAGGCAAGGAUUGCAAGUGGUUGAGUUUCAAGCAGAUGGACAGGUAGAGUAUUUAGGACGAUGUCAUUAAGACUAGAUGCAGUUGGAGUUCUGCAAUUCAAUUCAGUUGGAAAUUAGAUUUGUUUAUUUGGUUAUCAGCUACUCUUCUUAUCGAGGUUUAGCUGAUAAUGUUGUUUAAUUUGUAAAUAAGAUUUUAUAGUUUUAGUUUCUGAUUUCAAUGCUGUAGCCUGUAUGCGAUCCUGUUUUCAGGGGGUGAAAUUGAUUUUGAAUUAAAGACCUUCUUUUAAAAAAAAAAAAUAUCCAGGUUUAGAAAUACUUGUUUUUACUUUCUUCCAAAAAUACAGGUUUUAAAUUGUUUUUCUUUUAAUGGCUCAAAACUACAGGUUUUAAAUUAUUUUUAUUUACACGUGGCACCAGAUCUAGACCCCCGGAUUUGAGGGAUGUCACAGUUGGUAUCAGAGCUACAGGUUAUAAGUUAUUGAAAUCAGAAUGUAGGUUGUAACUUGUCUAAUAAGAUAGACACGUUAAGUGAAACCUCACAUAUAGGUAAGUUCAGAUUAGUGGUGUAACCUCAUAUAGAGGUAUCGUAAGACUAUUUGGGGAUAGUCCUUCUGAGCAUAAUAAAAUGAAGCUAAACGAUUAUGUUUAAGUGAUUAUGGUUAUAGACACAACAAUUCCUAAUUCUAGUUCUUCCAGUCCCUAGUGGCCUAGUUUAUUGACCAAUUCAGAUUUAUAUCAUUGUAAGAGGGUCAAAGUUAGACCUAUCAACAGAACCUUCAAGCUAGAACCAGUAGAGAUUCUCACACAGUCUAAUGUAUCCUUUAUAGUAUCUUCCAAGUGUUGAGUAUUAUUUGAAGAGUCACCUUUUGAUUCUUGUCAGAGAUAUCUAGAAUUGGUGAAAGAAUAGAGGUGUUAACAAGUCCGAGUUUACAGCUUUGUAUAUAGUUAAGUAGUGAGCGUUAGAGCUACGUAGAGUUUGUGUUAGAUUAUUCGAUCUAGUACUUAUGUGUGAGUUAAGAUGUCAACGCUCUAUGGUGAUGAUUGUAUAAAGUUGGAUAAGACUUUUGACCGACAACGAUAUCAAUGAUGGGAUCUUCAGAGGCUAUUACUAGUCAACGAUAAUAUAUGCAAGUGGUCACUAAAACGUCAAGAAAAAUCACUAGAAUCAGAACGAGUCAUCAAAAGAAUCGAUCAAAAAGACAUCUGUGAGAAUCCUGGCAAUACCUUCCUCAUUGUUGAUAUAUUGAUUUCUUUCCCCAUCAAUGAUUUGUUCUGACAUCACUUUAAAAAAAAAAAAUAUUUGAUAAAGAGUAUAUUUUUACCUUUCACUCGAGUUCUCGAAUGAUACUUGUGCUUACUGUCACACCUAUAGAAUCUAUUCAAUCUUGGUAAUUUCGAACCCUUUCAUAUUCUCUACUCUAACUGAGAUGAACAACCCUACCUAUAGGGGACACAAGGACUACCUGUCUGUGUGAUAGGAGUUGGAUGGGACGCCAUCACUUGUGUGUGUUGUACAUUACAAGAAGGUUAACUACCUUUAGUAGUGUCUUAAAUUAGACACGCAACACCGAGUUCUAUAGACCAUAUUGAUCUCUCAGUUAUUCAUUUAUUUCAAUCACGUAACACUUGCUCCAAUAUGUGAAAUCUGUCAUAUCUUUUACCUUCAAGAUUCUUCUAAUCUCUAAUAGUUGGAGGUAUGCCAACCGAGUUGCCAAUAUGAAUUAAGACUUUGUAGUAAGAAGCACCAGGGAUGAAAGCGAAUGACAAUGCUGGUUAUAUCAGAAAGGAAUAUUAUGGAUUAUAGAGAUCGUACACUCUAGUUUUCUUUUUGAUGAUUCCGAGGACGGAAUCUUUUUAAGGGGGGUAGAUUGUGACGACCCGGAUUUUCAGAAAUUAUUUUAUUAUUUUUAUUCAUGAUUAUUCGAGACAAAUGAGGAAUAAAUUUCAAUAUUUUAUUCUAGUUUGAUAAUUUUCAAAAAUAUUUGUUUAAAUUAUUUUCCUAGUCAUUGUGAUUAUGAGAAAAUAUCUGUUGAUUGUACAAUUAUAUGUUACGAGAUUUAAUUGAAUUAGUUGUCUACUAUUAUGUCUGUGUGUGCAUUUAUUUUUACUUUUAAUAUUACUGUAUUGUUUUAUUGAAAUUUAUUAUCCUCUUAAAUGGAUAUUUAUUUUUGUAAAAAUACAAAGAUAAUUUCAAAAAUUAUUUUAAUUGCUCGAUAGUGAUCAUAAAUAUGUUUAGAAGUUUUUAAAAUAUUAAAAAUCCAAUUUCUACAAGGACAUGAUUUUUAAUUAGUUUCUAAACGCAGCUAACUUCUUAAUUUUGUAUAAAUUUUGAAAAUGCUCUAUAAAUCUUGAAACUUUUAUUUUAUGAGUUUUAUAAUAUUCGGUAAUUUAUAAAAUUAGUUUGUUAAUUUUUCGAGAAAGUUUUAAUGCGAGUUAUCCCGUAAAUCAACUAAAUAGCGGGUGUUUGGAUGAUUAUUCAGCUUAAAAUAAAACGUGGCAGCCUUUGGCCAAACCACGUGCCCUGCUUUUCACCACCGCCAUCCCUUUUCUUCAUUUUAUAUACAUCAGCCUCUCAAUCUCUCUCUCUCUCUCCCUGUGAAAUCCUCCAUCUCUCCCUCUCCGCUCCUCUUUCUUUUCUCACCCAUCUUCCUCUCUUUCUUGGCAUCACCGUCCCUUCCCUGCAGCCGCCGAAUUAUGCCGCUGCCACCUCUUUCCGGCGACCACCAUAGCCCUGCACCAAUUAUAAAUCAGUGGGUAUAAAGCUUAAUUUCUCUUUGUCAAAUCAGUUCUAUAUAAACGUAUAUAUACAUGUGGUGUUGUGUUUAUAUGGUUUAAAUUGAUUUAUAUAAUCGAUUUAUGUGUGCUUGUAUGUAUAUAAACUGAUUAUAUGCUGGUUAUUGAAAUUUGAAGGUUGAUUGAAUUUUUGAGAUUGAGAUUGGUGUUAGUAAUCGUAUGAUUGAAUUGUGUGCUUAAUUGAUAUUUGAAUUGGUUGUUGGAGGUUCAUUAUAAAUGGUGCGCCAACUAGUAGUGUAAUCGGAUGACUUGGGUACUUGAUUUAUGGGAAUAUAUAACUGAGUAUUAAAGCUUUAAGGUCUGAGAUUUUGUGUAAAUGUUUUCAGAAUGGUGUUUUAAGAGUUUAAGUAUUGGGCUAAAAAAAAUUUAGAUUUACACAUAAUCGGUUGAAUUGUAAGUUGCUGCUGAUCUGUUUUGCAGUAAAAUUCUGGGCUUCUAGAGUCGAAUUAUAUGCUUAAUAUUUUUGUGGUUAUGUGCUCCUCAGAGUCUAGUUUAUGUGCGCAAAAGAAUCGAAUCAAUUCGAUUAGCGAGCUAGGAGAUAUGACCGUUUUAGUAUAGUAUGGUGCUGAAAAUUCUGGGCAGGUUUGUCCUGUUCUAGGCUCUGUUUUACUGCUUUAAACUUGAAGUUUCUUUCUGAAAAUUUUACUGUAGGUUGGAAUAAUAUUCAGGAGUGUCUCAUAAAAAUUUUGUAUUUAAAAGAUAAAUUUUCAAUUUAUUAAAAAUCAUAGACCGAGGGCUGUUUGAACUAUUUGUUCUAGUUUUUCUUUCUUUGCUAGUGCAUAGUAUGAGGUUAUACUUGGCUAAUUGCAUAUGAUUGAUUAUUACAUUGAUUGGCUCGGUUAACCUUUAUAUCUAAUUAAACGUGCUUUGCGUAUAACAAAUUAGUAAUCCUGCUAAAAGAUUUUAUUAUAUGUUCACUACAAGUCAAGACAGAUUUUCUGUUCACUGCAAGCCAAGGGAUCUUUUUUUAUAUUAAUAAUUCAUGUGUUAGCAAUGGUAUUGGUUGGUUGUUGGUAUUGCAAACAGGUGGAUAGUCCGAUAAACAGAGGAGAUGAUGCCGAAUUUUCGUUAGGAAUUAUAUGUAUUUAAUGGCUAUAAAAAGGGGUUAUUUGUGCAAUUAUGUGUUAUGUGUUUAUCUGCCUAUGUGGUAUGUAUAUGCGAAGGGUAGAUAUAUAUAGGUCUUAAUACUUUUCAGAGUUAGUUAAUUUGUCUGAUCCGACGGUUAAAAUACUAUUUUACUAUCGUAUAGAAUUGAAGACAUUGACCGAGGCAUUGAUCGAGAAGUGAUUGAAAUGGGUAUCCAGAAUUAGCCAAGUAGUGUUGCAAGUUGAAGUAGGGCGGAGAUUUGUUAUAGAUAAAAGUUUGUCAGAAGCUGGCAGAAAGGAAUGAUAUGGCGGUAUAUAGUAUUAUUAGAAAUCUGACCUAGACACCGGAGUUAAGGCAAGUACUUCUACCUUUCUCUCGCAAUUUAGAAGCAAGUAUUUCUACCCUACUCCUCUAGUACCUAUAGAUACUAAAACCUUCUUUAUAUCAUGAUUCAAAUUAUUUGCAAUUACUUUCUUGUGAAGCAUAUCUAGUACUUUUAAACUUUUUGGUUGAACGGAUAACACUUUUGGUAUCAACUCUACACUAUGAUAUGCAUAAAGAAAUUGUUUUAACAAAAUGUUAUUCUGGCUCUUGAAUUACAUGAUGGAACUGCAGAUUGUUUUAAAAAUUAAACUGUUGGGUUGUUUUUGCGUAAGAGGCUCGGGCACCGGCCCAGCGUGAAAGGUGGCUCCUUAAGCCCGGAUUACCGGAAUUCGUAAUAUUUGUCAACCUUGCUGAAUAAGCUUGGUUUAUGGACUAUAGCAUGACUGAUCAUCUGUUAUAGCCAGGUGUCCAAUUAAUUUUAAAGCCCAAUAAAAUUGUGAAUAGUUUAAAAAGAAGUUACCCUGCCUUCAAGAGAUAUUUGCUUAUACAUUCAUUUCUGCAUUUUUAAAUAUUUUCACUUCUUUAUUAUGGCAUUGCAGUACAACAAAUAUCAAUUUCAUUUUGUUAUUCUUGCUGAGCAUUAUUGCUCAUUCUUGCUAUUCCUUCUAACCCUUUUCUGCUAGGAAUAAAGAUGAUUCACUUAAGACUAUGCAACGAUUGCAAGAGGUUGACUUUCAAGCAGAUGGACAUGUAGAGUAUUUAGGACGAUGACAUUAAGACUAGAUGCAGUUGGAGUUCUGCAAUUCAAUUCAGUUGGAAAUUAGAUUUGUUUAUUUGGUUAUCAGCUACUCUUCUUAUCGAGGUUUAGCUGAUAAUGUUGUUUAAUUUGUAAAUAAGAUUUUAUAGUUUUAGUUUCUGAUUUCAAUGCUGUAGCCUGUAUGCGAUCCUGUUUUCAGGGGGUGAAAUUGAUUCUGAAUUAAAGACCUUCUUUUAAAAAAAUAAUAUCCAGGUUCAGAAAUACUUGUUUUUACUUUCUUCCAAAAAUACAGGUUUUAAAUUGUUUUUCUUUUAAUGGCUCAAAACUACAGGUUUUAAAUUAUUUUUAUUUACACGUGGCACCAGAUCUAGACCCCCCGAUUUGAGGGAUGUCACAGUUGGUAUUAGAGCUACAGGUUAUAAGUUAUUGAAAUCAGAAUGUAGGUUGUAACUUGUCUAAUAAGAUAGACACGUUAAGUGAAACCUCACAUAUAGGUAAGUUCAGAUUAGUGGUGUAACCUCAUAUAGAGGUAUCGUAAGACUAUUUGGGGAUAGUCCUUCUGAGCAUAAUAAAAUGAAGCUAAACGAUUAUGUUUAAGUGAUUAUGGUUAUAGACACAACAAUUCCUAAUUCUAGUUCUUCCAGUCCCUAGUGGCCUAGUUUAUUGACCAAUUCAGAUUUAUAUCAUUGUAAGAGGGUCAAAGUUAGACCUAUCAACAGAACCUUCAAGCUAGAACCAGUAGAGAUUCUCACACAGUCUAAUGUAUCCUUUAUAGUAUCUUCCAAGUGUUGAGUAUUAUUUGAAGAGUCACCUUUUGAUUCUUGUCAGAGAUAUCUAGAAUUGGUGAAAGAAUAGAGGUGUUAACAAGUCCGAGUUUACAGCUUUGUAUAUAGUUAAGUAGUGAGCGUUAGAGCUACGUAGAGUUUGUGUUAGAUUAUUCGAUCUAGUACUUAUGUGUGAGUUAAGAUGUCAACGCUCUAUGGUGAUGAUUGUAUAAAGUUGGAUAAGACUUUUGACCGACAACGAUAUCAAUGAUGGGAUCUUCAGAGGCUAUUACUAGUCAACGAUAAUAUAUGCAAGUGGUCACUAAAACGUCAAGAAGAAUCACUAGAAUCAGAACGAGUCAUCAAAAGAAUCGAUCAAAAAGACAUCUGUGAGAAUCCUGGCAAUACCUUCCUCAUUGUUGAUAUAUUGAUUUCUUUCCCCAUCAAUGAUUUGUUCUGACAUCACUUUAAAAAAAAAAAAUAUUUGAUAAAGAGUAUAUUUUUACCUUUCACUCGAGUUCUCGAAUGAUACUUGUGCUUACUGUCACACCUAUAGAAUCUAUUCAAUCUUGGUAAUUUCGAACCCUUUCAUAUUCUCUACUCUAACUGAGAUGAACAACCCUACCUAUAGGGGACACAAGGACUACCUGUCUGUGUGAUAGGAGUUGGAUGGGACGCCAUCACUUGUGUGUGUUGUACAUUACAAGAAGGUUAACUACCUUUAGUAGUGUCUUAAAUUAGACACGCAACACCGAGUUCUAUAGACCAUAUUGAUCUCUCAGUUAUUCAUUUAUUUCAAUCACGUAACACUUGCUCCAAUAUGUGAAAUCUGUCAUAUCUUUUACCUUCAAGAUUCUUCUAAUCUCUAAUAGUUGGAGGUAUGCCAACCGAGUUGCCAAUAUGAAUUAAGACUUUGUAGUAAGAAGCACCAGGGAUGAAAGCGAAUGACAAUGCUGGUUAUAUCAGAAAGGAAUAUUAUGGAUUAUAGAGAUCGUACACUCUAGUUUUCUUUUUGAUGAUUCCGAGGACGGAAUCUUUUUAAGGGGGUUAGAUUGUGACGACCCGGAUUUUCAGAAAUUAUUUUAUUAUUUUUAUUCAUGAUUAUUCGAGACAAAUGAGGAAUAAAUUUCAAUAUUUUAUUCUAGUUUGAUAAUUUUCAAAAAUAUUUGUUUAAAUUAUUUUCCUAGUCAUUGUGAUUAUGAGAAAAUAUCUGUUGAUUGUACAAUUAUAUGUUACGAGAUUUAAUUGAAUUAGUUGUCUACUAUUAUGUCUGUGUGUGCAUUUAUUUUUACUUUUAAUAUUACUGUAUUGUUUUAUUGAAAUUUAUUAUCCUCUUAAAUGGAUAUUUAUUUUUGUACAAAUACAAAGAUAAUUUCAAAAAUUAUUUUAAUUGCUCGAUAGUGAUCAUAAAUAUGUUUAGAAGUUUUUAAAAUAUUAAAAAUCCAAUUUCUACAAGGACAUGAUUUUUAAUUAGUUUCUAAACGCAGCUAACUUCUUAAUUUUGUAUAAAUUUUGAAAAUGCUCUAUAAAUCUUGAAACUUUUAUUUUAUUAGUUUUAUAAUAUUCGGUAAUUUAUAAAAUUAGUUUGUUAAUUUUUCGAGAAAGUUUUAAUGCGAGUUAUCCCGUAAAUCAACUAAAUAGCGGGUGUUUGGAUGAUUAUUCAGCUUAAAUUAAAACGUGGCAGCCUUUGGCCAAACCACGUGCCCUGCUUUUCACCACCGCCAUCCCUUUUCUUCAUUUUAUAUACAUCAGCCUCUCAAUCUCUCUCUCUCUCUCGCUGUGAAAUCCUCCAUCUCUCCCUCUCCGCUCCUCUUUCUUUUCUCACCCAUCUUCCUCUCUUUCUUGGCAUCACCGUCCCUUCCCUGCAGCCGCCGAAUUAUGCCGUUAUGCCGCUGCCACCUCUUUCCAGCGACCACCAUAGCCCUGCACCAAUUAUAAAUCAGUGGGUGUAAAGCUUAAUUUCUCUUUGUCAAAUCAGUUCUAUAUAAACGUAUAUAUACAUGUGGUGUUGUGUUUAUAUGGAUUAAAUUGAUUUAUAUAAUCGAUUUAUGUGUGCUUGUAUGUAUAUAAACUGAUUAUAUGCUGGUUUUUGAAAUUUGAAGGUUGAUUGAAUUUUUGAGAUUGAGAUUGGUGUUAGUAAUCGUAUGAUUGAAUUGUGUGCUUAAUUGAUAUUUGAAUUGGUUGUUGUAAGUUGAUUAUAAAUAGUGCGCCAAUUAGUAGUGUAAUCGGAUGACUUGGGUACUUGAAUUAUGGGAAUAUAUAACUGAGUAUUCAAGCUUUAAGGUCAAUCCUCCAUCUCUCCCUCUCCGCUCCUCUUUCUUUUCUCACCCAUCUUUCUCUCUUUCUUGGCAUCACCGUCCCUUCCCUGCAGCCGCCGAAUUAUGCCGCUGCCACCUCUUUCCGGCGACCACCAUAGCCCUGCACCAAUUAUAAAUCAGUGGGUAUAAAGCUUAAUUUCUCUUUGUCAAAUCAGUUCUAUAUAAACGUAUAUAUACAUGUGGUGUUGUGUUUAUAUGGUUUAAAUUAAUUUAUAUAAUCGAUUUAUGUGUGCUUGUAUGUAUAUAAACUGAUUAUAUGCUUGUAAUUGAAGGUUGAUUGAAUUUCUGAGAUUGAGAUUGGUGUUAGUAAUUGUAUGAUUGAAUUGUGUGCUUAAUUGAUAUUUGAACUGGUUGUUGUAAGUUGAUUAUAAAUAGUGCGCCAACUAGUAGUGUAAUCGGAUGACUUGGGUACUUGAAUUAUGGGAAUAUAUAACUGAGUAUUCAAGCUUUAAGGUCUGAGAUUUUUUGUAAAUGUUUUCAAAGUGGUGUUUUAAGAGUUUAAGUAUUGGGCUAAAAAAAAAAUUUUGAUUUACACAUAUUCGGUUGAAUUCUAGAUUGCUGUUGAUCUGUUUUGAAUUACAACUCUGGGAUCAUAGAGUUGAAUUAUAUGCUUAAUAUUUGUGUGGUUAUGUGCUCCUUAGAGUCUAGUUUAUGUGCGCGAAAGAACCGAAUCGAUUCGAUUAGCGAGCUAGGAGAUAUGACCGUUUUAGUAUAGUAUGGUGCUGAAAAUUCUGGGCAGGUUUGUCCUGUUCUAGGCUCUGUUUUACUGCUUUAAACUUGAAGUUUCUUUCUGAAAAUUUUACUGUAGGUUGGAAUAAUAUUCAGGAGUGUCUCAUAAAAAUUUUGUAUUUAAAAGAUAAAUUUUCAAUUUAUUAAAAAUCAUAGACCGAGGGCUGUUUGAACUAUUUGUUCUAGUUUUUCUUUCUUUGCUAGUGCAUAGUAUGAGGUUAUACUUGGCUAAUUGCAUAUGAUUGAUUAUUACAUUGAUUGGCUCGGUUAACCUUUAUAUCUAAUUAAACGUGCUUUGCGUAUAACAAAUUAGUAAUCCUGCUAAAAGAUUUUAUUAUAUGUUCACUACAAGUCAAGACAGAUUUUCUGUUCACUGCAAGCCAAGGGAUCUUUUUUUAUAUUAAUAAUUCAUGUGUUAGCAAUGGUAUUGGUUGGUUGUUGGUAUUGCAAACAGGUGGAUAGUCCGAUAAACGGAGGAGAUGAUGCCGAAUUUUCGUUAGAAACUAUAUGUAUUUAAUGGCUAUAAAAAGGGGUUAUUUGUGCAAUUAUGUGUUAUGUGUUUAUCUGCCUAUGUGGUAUGUAUAUGCGAAGGGUAGAUAUAUAUAGGUCUUAAUACUUUUCAGAGUUAGUUAAUUUGUCUGAUCCGACGGUUAAAAUACUAUUUUACUAUCGUAUAGAAUUGAAGACAUUGACCGAGGCAUUGAUCGAGAAGUGAUUGAAAUGGGUAUCCAGAAUUAGCCAAGUAGUGUUGCAAGUUGAAGUAGGGCGGAGAUUUGUUAUAGAUAAAAGCUUGUCAGAAGCUGGCAGAAAGGAAUGAUAUGGCGGUAUAUAGUAUUAUUAGAAAUCUGACCUAGACACCGGAGUUAAGGCAAGUACUUCUACCUUUCUCUCGCAAUUUAGAAGCAAGUAUUUCUACCCUACUCCUCUAGUACCUAUAGAUACUAAAACCUUCUUUAUAUCAUGAUUCAAAUUAUUUGCAAUUACUUUCUUGUGAAGCAUAUCUAGUACUUUUAAACCUUUUGGUUGAACGGAUAACACUUUUGGUAUCGACUCUACACUAUGAUAUGCAUAAAGAAAUUGUUUUAACAAAAUGUUGUUCUGGCUCUUGAAUUACAUGAUAGAACUGCAGAUUGUUUUAAAAAUUAAACUGUUAGGUUGUUUUUGCGUAAGAGGCUCGGGCACCGGCCCAGCGUGAAAGGUGGCUCCUUAAGCCCGGAUUACCGGAAUUCGUAAUAUUUGUCAACCUUGCUGAAUAAGCUUGGUUUAUGGACUAUAGCAUGACUGAUCAUCUGUUAUAGCCAGGUGUCCAAUUAUUUUUAAAGCCCAAUAAAAUUGUGAAUAGUUUAAAAAGAAGUUACCCUGCCUUCAAGAGAUAUUUGCUUAUACAUUCAUUUCUGCAGUUUUAAAUAUUUUCACUUCUUUAUUAUGGCAUUGCUGUACAACAAAUAUCAAUUUCAUUUUGUUAUUCUUGCUGAGCAUUAUUGCUCAUUCUUGCUAUUCCUUCUAACCCUUUUCAGCUAGGAAUAAAGAUGAUUCACUUAAGACUAGGCAAGGAUUGCAAGUGGUUGAGUUUCAAGCAGAUGGACAGGUAGAGUAUUUAGGACGAUGUCAUUAAGACUAGAUGCAGUUGGAGUUCUGCAAUUCAAUUCAGUUGGAAAUUAGAUUUGUUUAUUUGGUUAUCAGCUACUCUUCUUAUCGAGGUUUAGCUGAUAAUGUUGUUUAAUUUGUAAAUAAGAUUUUAUAGUUUUAGUUUCUGAUUUCAAUGCUGUAGCCUGUAUGCGAUCCUGUUUUCAGGGGGUGAAAUUGAUUUUGAAUUAAAGACCUUCUUUUAAAAAAAUAAUAUAUCCAGGUUUAGAAAUACUUGUUUUUACUUUCUUCCAAAAAUACAGGUUUUAAAUUGUUUUUCUUUUAAUGGCUCAAAACUACAGGUUUUAAAUUAUUUUUAUUUACACGUGGCACCAGAUCUAGACCCCCGGAUUUGAGGGAUGUCACAGUUGGUAUCAGAGCUACAGGUUAUAAGUUAUUGAAAUCAGAAUGUAGGUUGUAACUUGUCUAAUAAGAUAGACACGUUAAGUGAAACCUCACAUAUAGGUAAGUUCAGAUUAGUGGUGUAACCUCAUAUAGAGGUAUCGUAAGACUAUUUGGGGAUAGUCCUUUUGAGCAUAAUAAAAUGAAGCUAAACGAUUAUGUUUAAGUGAUUAUGGUUAUAGACACAACAAUUCCUAAUUCUAGUUCUUCCAGUCCCUAGUGGCCUAGUUUAUUGACCAAUUCAGAUUUAUAUCAUUGUAAGAGGGUCAAAGUUAGACCUAUCAACAGAACCUUCAAGCUAGAACCAGUAGAGAUUCUCACACAGUCUAAUGUAUCCUUUAUAGUAUCUUCCAAGUGUUGAGUAUUAUUUGAAGAGUCACCUUUUGAUUCUUGUCAGAGAUAUCUAGAAUUGGUGAAAGAAUAGAGGUGUUAACAAGUCCGAGUUUACAGCUUUGUAUAUAGUUAAGUAGUGAGCGUUAGAGCUACGUAGAGUUCGUGUUAGAUUAUUCGAUCUAGUACUUAUGUGUGAGUUAAGACGUCAACGCUCUAUGGUGAUGAUUGUAUAAAGUUGGAUAAGACUUUUGACCGACAACGAUAUCAAUGAUGGGAUCUUCAGAGGCUAUUACUAGUCAACGAUAAUAUAUGCAAGUGGUCACUAAAACGUCAAGAAGAAUCACUAGAAUCAGAACGAGUCAUCAAAAGAAUCGAUCAAGAAGACAUCUGUGAGAAUCCUGGCAAUACCUUCCUCAUUGUUGAUAUAUUGAUUUCUUUCCCCAUCAAUGAUUUGUUCUGACAUCACUUAAAAAAAAAAAUAUUUGAUAAAGAGUAUAUUUUUACCUUUCACUCGAGUUCUCGAAUGAUACUUGUGCUUACUGUCAGACCUAUAGAAUCUAUUCAAUCUUGGUAAUUUCGAACCCUUUCAUAUUCUCUACUCUAACUGAGAUGAACAACCCUACCUAUAGGGGACACAAGGACUACCUGUCUGUGUGAUAGGAGUUGGAUGGGACGCCAUCACUUGUGUGUGUUGUACAUUACAAGAAGGUUAACUACCUUUAGUAGUGUCUUAAAUUAGACACGCAACACCGAGUUCUAUAGACCAUAUUGAUCUCUCAGUUAUUCAUUUAUUUCAAUCACGUAACACUUGCUCCAAUAUGUGAAAUCUGUCAUAUCUUUUACCUUCAAGAUUCUUCUAAUCUCUAAUAGUUGGAGGUAUGCCAACCGAGUUGCCAAUAUGAAUUAAGACUUUGUAGUAAGAAGCACCAGGGAUGAAAGCGAAUGACAAUGCUGGUUAUAUCAGAAAGGAAUAUUAUGGAUUAUAGAGAUCGUACGCUCUAGUUUUCUUUUUGAUGAUUCCGAGGACGGAAUCUUUUUAAGGGGGGUAGAUUGUGACGACCCGGAUUUUCAGAAAUUAUUUUAUUAUUUUUAUUCAUGAUUAUUCGAGACAAAUGAGGAAUAAAUUUCAAUAUUUUAUUCUAGUUUGAUAAUUUUCAAAAAUAUUUGUUUAAAUUAUUUUCCUAGUCAUUGUGAUUAUGAGAAAAUAUCUGUUGAUUGUACAAUUAUAUGUUACGAGAUUUAAUUGAAUUAGUUGUCUACUAUUAUGUCUGUGUGUGCAUUUAUUUUUACUUUUAAUAUUACUGUAUUGUUUUAUUGAAAUUUAUUAUCCUCUUAAAUGGAUAUUUAUUUUUGUAAAAAUACAAAGAUAAUUUCAAAAAUUAUUUUAAUUGCUCGAUAGUGAUCAUAAAUAUGUUUAGAAGUUUUUAAAAUAUUAAAAAUCCAAUUUCUACAAGGACAUGAUUUUUAAUUAGUUUCUAAACGCAGCUAACUUCUUAAUUUUGUAUAAAUUUUGAAAAUGCUCUAUAAAUCUUGAAACUUUUAUUUUAUGAGUUUUAUAAUAUUCGGUAAUUUAUAAAAUUAGUUUGUUAAUUUUUCGAGAAAGUUUUAAUGCGAGUUAUCCCGUAAAUCAACUAAAUAGCGGGUGUUUGGAUGAUUAUUCAGCUUAAAAUAAAACGUGGCAGCCUUUGGCCAAACCACGUGCCCUGCUUUUCACCACCGCCAUCCCUUUUCUUCAUUUUAUAUACAUCAGCCUCUCAAUCUCUCUCUCUCUCUCUCUGUGAAAUCCUCCAUCUCUCCCUCUCCGCUCCUCUUUCUUUUCUCACCCAUCUUCCUCUCUUUCUUGGCAUCACCGUCCCUUCCCUGCAGCCGCCGAAUUAUGCCGCUGCCACCUCUUUCCGGCGACCACCAUAGCCCUGCACCAAUUAUAAAUCAGUGGGUAUAAAGCUUAAUUUCUCUUUGUCAAAUCAGUUCUAUAUAAACGUAUAUAUACAUGUGGUGUUGUGUUUAUAUGGUUUAAUUUGAUUUAUAUAAUCGAUUUAUGUGUGCUUGUAUGUAUAUAAACUGAUUAUAUGCUGGUUAUUGAAAUUUGAAGGUUGAUUGAAUUUUUGAGAUUGAGAUUGGUGUUAGUAAUCGUAUGAUUGAAUUGUGUGCUUAAUUGAUAUUUGAAUUGGUUGUUGGAGGUUCAUUAUAAAUGGUGCGCCAACUAGUAGUGUAAUCGGAUGACUUGGGUACUUGAUUUAUGGGAAUAUAUAACUGAGUAUUAAAGCUUUAAGGUCUGAGAUUUUGUGUAAAUGUUUUCAGAAUGGUGUUUUAAGAGUUUAAGUAUUGAGCUAAAAAAAAUUUAGAUUUACACAUAAUCGGUUGAAUUGUAAGUUGCUGCUGAUCUGUUUUGCAGUAAAAUUCUGGGCUUCUAGAGUCGAAUUAUAUGCUUAAUAUUUUUGUGGUUAUGUGCUCCUCAGAGUCUAGUUUAUGUGCGCAAAAGAAUCGAAUCAAUUCGAUUAGCGAGCUAGGAGAUAUGACCGUUUUAGUAUAGUAUGGUGCUGAAAAUUCUGGGCAGGUUUGUCCUGUUCUAGGCUCUGUUUUACUGCUUUAAACUUGAAGUUUCUUUCUGAAAAUUUUACUGUAGGUUGGAAUAAUAUUCAGGAGUGUCUCAUAAAAAUUUUGUAUUUAAAAGAUAAAUUUUCAAUUUAUUAAAAAUCAUAGACCGAGGGCUGUUUGAACUAUUUGUUCUAGUUUUUCUUUCUUUGCUAGUGCAUAGUAUGAGGUUAUACUUGGCUAAUUGCAUAUGAUUGAUUAUUACAUUGAUUGGCUCGGUUAACCUUUAUAUCUAAUUAAACGUGCUUUGCGUAUAACAAAUUAGUAAUCCUGCUAAAAGAUUUUAUUAUAUGUUCACUACAAGUCAAGACAGAUUUUCUGUUCACUGCAAGCCAAGGGAUCUUUUUUUAUAUUAAUAAUUCAUGUGUUAGCAAUGGUAUUGGUUGGUUGUUGGUAUUGCAAACAGGUGGAUAGUCCGAUAAACAGAGGAGAUGAUGCCGAAUUUUCGUUAGGAAUUAUAUGUAUUUAAUGGCUAUAAAAAGGGGUUAUUUGUGCAAUUAUGUGUUAUGUGUUUAUCUGCCUAUGUGGUAUGUAUAUGCGAAGGGUAGAUAUAUAUAGGUCUUAAUACUUUUCAGAGUUAGUUAAUUUGUCUGAUCCGACGGUUAAAAUACUAUUUUACUAUCGUAUAGAAUUGAAGACAUUGACCGAGGCAUUGAUCGAGAAGUGAUUGAAAUGGGUAUCCAGAAUUAGCCAAGUAGUGUUGCAAGUUGAAGUAGGGCGGAGAUUUGUUAUAGAUAAAAGCUUGUCAGAAGCUGGCAGAAAGGAAUGAUAUGGCGGUAUAUAGUAUUAUUAGAAAUCUGACCUAGACACCAGAGUUAAGGCAAGUACUUCUACCUUUCUCUCGCAAUUUAGAAGCAAGUAUUUCUACCCUACUCCUCUAGUACCUAUAGAUACUAAAACCUUCUUUAUAUCAUGAUUCAAAUUAUUUGCAAUUACUUUCUUGUGAAGCAUAUCUAGUACUUUUAAACCUUUUGGUUGAACGGAUAACACUUUUGGUAUCGACUCUACACUAUGAUAUGCAUAAAGAAAUUGUUUUAACAAAAUGUUGUUCUGGCUCUUGAAUUACAUGAUAGAACUGCAGAUUGUUUUAAAAAUUAAACUGUUGGGUUGUUUUUGCGUAAGAGGCUCGGGCACCGGCCCAGCGUGAAAGGUGGCUCCUUAAGCCCGGAUUACCGGAAUUCGUAAUAUUUGUCAACCUUGCUGAAUAAGCUUGGUUUAUGGACUAUAGCAUGACUGAUCAUCUGUUAUAGCCAGGUGUCCAAUUAAUUUUAAAGCCCAAUAAAAUUGUGAAUAGUUUAAAAAGAAGUUACCCUGCCUUCAAGAGAUAUUUGCUUAUACAUUCAUUUCUGCAGUUUUAAAUAUUUUCACUUCUUUAUUAUGGCAUUGCUGUACAACAAAUAUCAAUUUCAUUUUGUUAUUCUUGCUGAGCAUUAUUGCUCAUUCUUGCUAUUCCUUCUAACCCUUUUCAGCUAGGAAUAAAGAUGAUUCACUUAAGACUAGGCAAGGAUUGCAAGUGGUUGAGUUUCAAGCAGAUGGACAGGUAGAGUAUUUAGGACGAUGUCAUUAAGACUAGAUGCAGUUGGAGUUCUGCAAUUCAAUUCAGUUGGAAAUUAGAUUUGUUUAUUUGGUUAUCAGCUACUCUUCUUAUCGAGGUUUAGCUGAUAAUGUUGUUUAAUUUGUAAAUAAGAUUUUAUAGUUUUAGUUUCUGAUUUCAAUGCUGUAGCCUGUAUGCGAUCCUGUUUUCAGGGGGUGAAAUUGAUUUUGAAUUAAAGACCUUCUUUUAAAAAAAUAAUAUCCAGGUUUAGAAAUACUUGUUUUUACUUUCUUCCAAAAAUACAGGUUUUAAAUUGUUUUUCUUUUAAUGGCUCAAAACUACAGGUUUUAAAUUAUUUUUAUUUACACGUGGCACCAGAUCUAGACCCCCGGAUUUGAGGGAUGUCACAGUUGGUAUCAGAGCUACAGGUUAUAAGUUAUUGAAAUCAGAAUGUAGGUUGUAACUUGUCUAAUAAGAUAGACACGUUAAGUGAAACCUCACAUAUAGGUAAGUUCAGAUUAGUGGUGUAACCUCAUAUAGAGGUAUCGUAAGACUAUUUGGGGAUAGUCCUUUUGAGCAUAAUAAAAUGAAGCUAAACGAUUAUGUUUAAGUGAUUAUGGUUAUAGACACAACAAUUCCUAAUUCUAGUUCUUCCAGUCCCUAGUGGCCUAGUUUAUUGACCAAUUCAGAUUUAUAUCAUUGUAAGAGGGUCAAAGUUAGACCUAUCAACAGAACCUUCAAGCUAGAACCAGUAGAGAUUCUCACACAGUCUAAUGUAUCCUUUAUAGUAUCUUCCAAGUGUUGAGUAUUAUUUGAAGAGUCACCUUUUGAUUCUUGUCAGAGAUAUCUAGAAUUGGUGAAAGAAUAGAGGUGUUAACAAGUCCGAGUUUACAGCUUUGUAUAUAGUUAAGUAGUGAGCGUUAGAGCUACGUAGAGUUUGUGUUAGAUUAUUCGAUCUAGUACUUAUGUGUGAGUUAAGAUGUCAACGCUCUAUGGUGAUGAUUGUAUAAAGUUGGAUAAGACUUUUGACCGACAACGAUAUCAAUGAUGGGAUCUUCAGAGGCUAUUACUAGUCAACGAUAAUAUAUGCAAGUGGUCACUAAAACGUCAAGAAAAAUCACUAGAAUCAGAACGAGUCAUCAAAAGAAUCGAUCAAAAAGACAUCUGUGAGAAUCCUGGCAAUACCUUCCUCAUUGUUGAUAUAUUGAUUUCUUUCCCCAUCAAUGAUUUGUUCUGACAUCACUUUAAAAAAAAAAAAUAUUUGAUAAAGAGUAUAUUUUUACCUUUCACUCGAGUUCUCGAAUGAUACUUGUGCUUACUGUCACACCUAUAGAAUCUAUUCAAUCUUGGUAAUUUCGAACCCUUUCAUAUUCUUUACUCUAACUGAGAUGAACAACCCUACCUAUAGGGGACACAAGGACUACCUGUCUGUGUGAUAGGAGUUGGAUGGGACGCCAUCACUUGUGUGUGUUGUACAUUACAAGAAGGUUAACUACCUUUAGUAGUGUCUUAAAUUAGACACGCAACACCGAGUUCUAUAGACCAUAUUGAUCUCUCAGUUAUUCAUUUAUUUCAAUCACGUAACACUUGCUCCAAUAUGUGAAAUCUGUCAUAUCUUUUACCUUCAAGAUUCUUCUAAUCUCUAAUAGUUGGAGGUAUGCCAACCGAGUUGCCAAUAUGAAUUAAGACUUUGUAGUAAGAAGCACCAGGGAUGAAAGCGAAUGACAAUGCUGGUUAUAUCAGAAAGGAAUAUUAUGGAUUAUAGAGAUCGUACACUCUAGUUUUCUUUUUGAUGAUUCCGAGGACGGAAUCUUUUUAAGGGGGGUAGAUUGUGACGACCCGGAUUUUCAGAAAUUAUUUUAUUAUUUUUAUUCAUGAUUAUUCGAGACAAAUGAGGAAUAAAUUUCAAUAUUUUAUUCUAGUUUGAUAAUUUUCAAAAAUAUUUGUUUAAAUUAUUUUCCUAGUCAUUGUGAUUAUGAGAAAAUAUCUGUUGAUUGUACAAUUAUAUGUUACGAGAUUUAAUUGAAUUAGUUGUCUACUAUUAUGUCUGUGUGUGCAUUUAUUUUUACUUUUAAUAUUACUGUAUUGUUUUAUUGAAAUUUAUUAUCCUCUUAAAUGGAUAUUUAUUUUUGUAAAAAUACAAAGAUAAUUUCAAAAAUUAUUUUAAUUGCUCGAUAGUGAUCAUAAAUAUGUUUAGAAGUUUUUAAAAUAUUAAAAAUCCAAUUUCUACAAGGACAUGAUUUUUAAUUAGUUUCUAAACGCAGCUAACUUCUUAAUUUUGUAUAAAUUUUGAAAAUGCUCUAUAAAUCUUGAAACUUUUAUUUUAUGAGUUUUAUAAUAUUCGGUAAUUUAUAAAAUUAGUUUGUUAAUUUUUCGAGAAAGUUUUAAUGCGAGUUAUCCCGUAAAUCAACUAAAUAGCGGGUGUUUGGAUGAUUAUUCAGCUUAAAAUAAAACGUGGCAGCCUUUGGCCAAACCACGUGCCCUGCUUUUCACCACCGCCAUCCCUUUUCUUCAUUUUAUAUACAUCAGCCUCUCAAUCUCUCUCUCUCUCUCUCUGUGAAAUCCUCCAUCUCUCCCUCUCCGCUCCUCUUUCUUUUCUCACCCAUCUUCCUCUCUUUCUUGGCAUCACCGUCCCUUCCCUGCAGCCGCCGAAUUAUGCCGUUAUGCCGCUGCCACCUCUUUCCAGCGACCACCAUAGCCCUGCACCAAUUAUAAAUCAGUGGGUGUAAAGCUUAAUUUCUCUUUGUCAAAUCAGUUCUAUAUAAACGUAUAUAUACAUGUGGUGUUGUGUUUAUAUGGAUUAAAUUGAUUUAUAUAAUCGAUUUAUGUGUGCUUGUAUGUAUAUAAACUGAUUAUAUGCUGGUUUUUGAAAUUUGAAGGUUGAUUGAAUUUUUGAGAUUGAGAUUGGUGUUAGUAAUCGUAUGAUUGAAUUGUGUGCUUAAUUGAUAUUUGAAUUGGUUGUUGUAAGUUGAUUAUAAAUAGUGCGCCAAUUAGUAGUGUAAUCGGAUGACUUGGGUACUUGAAUUAUGGGAAUAUAUAACUGAGUAUUCAAGCUUUAAGGUCUGAGAUUUUUGUAAAUGUUUUCAAAGUGGUGUUUUAAGAGUUUAAGUAUUGGGCUAAAAAAAAAUUUUGAUUUACACAUAUUCGGUUGAAUUCUAGAUUGCUGUUGAUCUGUUUUGAAUUACAACUCUGGGAUCAUAGAGUUGAAUUAUAUGCUUAAUAUUUGUGUGGUUAUGUGCUCCUUAGAGUCUAGUUUAUGUGCGCGAAAGAACCGAAUCGAUUCGAUUAGCGAGCUAGGAGAUAUGACCGUUUUAGUAUAGUAUGGUGCUGAAAAUUCUGGGCAGGUUUGUCCUGUUCCAGGCUCUGUUUUACAGCUUUAAACUUGGAUUUUCUUUCUGAAAAUUUUACUGUAGGUUGGAAUAAUAUUUAGGAGUGUCUCAUAAAAAUUUCGUAUUAAAAAGAUAAUUUUUCAAUUUAUUAAAAAUCAUAGACCGAGGGCUGUUUGAACUAUUUGUUCUAUUUUUCUUUCUUUGCUAGUGCAUAGUAUGAGGUUAUACUUGACUAAUUGCAUAUGAUUGAUUAUUACAUUGAUUGGCUCGGUUAACCUUGUAUAUCUAAUUAAAAGUGUUUUGCGUAUAACAAGUUAGCAAUCCUGCUAAAAGAUUUUAUUAUAUGUUUACUACAAGUCAAGACAGAUUUUCUUAUGUGUUUACUGCAAGUCAAGGGAUCUUUUUAUAUUAAUAAUUCAUGUGUUAGCAAUAGUAUUGGUUGGUUGUUGGCAUUGCAAACAGGUGGAUAAGCUUAUAAACAGAGGAGAUGCUGCCGAAUUUUCGUUAGAAAUUAUAUGGAUUUAAUGCCUAUAAAAAGGGUUGUUUGUACAACUAUGUGCUAUGUGUUUAUGUGACUGUGGUAUGUAUAUGCGAAGGGUAGAUAUAUAUAUAGGUCUUAAUGCAAUUCAGGGUUAGUCAAUAUGUCUAAUCCGACGACUGAAAUACUAUUUUAUCAUCGUAUAGAAUUGAAGACAUUGACCGAGGCAUUAAUCGAGAAGUGAUUGAAAGGGGUAUUCAGAAAUAGCCAAGCAGAAUGUUACAAGUUGAAGUAGGACGGAGAUUUGUUAUAGAUAAAAGUGUGUCAGAAGCUGGCAGAAAGGAAUGAUUAUGCGGUAUAUAGUGUUACUAGGAAUCUGAGCUAAACUUUGGAGUUAAGGCAAGUACUUCUACCUUCUCUCGCAAUUUAGAAGCAAGUAUUUCUACCCUACUCCUCUAGUACCUAUAGAUACUAAAACCUUCUUUAUAUCAUGAUUCAAAUUAUUUGCAAUUACUUUCUUGUGAAGCAUAUCUAGUACUUUUAAACUUUUUGGUUGAACGGAUAACACUUUUGGUAUCAACUCUACACUAUGAUAUGCAUAAAGAAAUUGUUUUAACAAAAUGUUAUUCUGGCUCUUGAAUUACAUGAUGGAACUGCAGAUUGUUUUAAAAAUUAAACUAUUGGGUUGUUUUUGCGUAAGAGGCUCGGGCACCGGCCCAGCGUGAAAGGUGGCUCCUUAAGCCCGGAUUACCGGAAUUCGUAAUAUUUGUCAACCUUGCUGAAUAAGCUUGGUUUAUGGACUAUAGCAUGACUGAUCAUCUGUUAUAGCCAGGUGUCCAAUUAUUUUUAAAGCCCAAUAAAAUUGUGAAUAGUUUAAAAAGAAGUUACCCUGCCUUCAAGAGAUAUUUGCUUAUACAUUCAUUUCUGCAGUUUUAAAUAUUUUCACUUCUUUAUUAUGGCAUUGCUGUACAACAAAUAUCAAUUUCAUUUUGUUAUUCUUGCUGAGCAUUAUUGCUCAUUCUUGCUAUUCCUUCUAACCCUUUUCAGCUAGGAAUAAAGAUGAUUCACUUAAGACUAGGCAAGGAUUGCAAGUGGUUGAGUUUCAAGCAGAUGGACAGGUAGAGUAUUUAGGACGAUGUCAUUAAGACUAGAUGCAGUUGGAGUUCUGCAAUUCAAUUCAGUUGGAAAUUAGAUUUGUUUAUUUGGUUAUCAGCUACUCUUCUUAUCGAGGUUUAGCUGAUAAUGUUGUUUAAUUUGUAAAUAAGAUUUUAUAGUUUUAGUUUCUGAUUUCAAUGCUGUAGCCUGUAUGCGAUCCUGUUUUCAGGGGGUGAAAUUGAUUUUGAAUUAAAGACCUUCUUUUAAAAAAAAAAAAUAUCCAGGUUUAGAAAUACUUGUUUUUACUUUCUUCCAAAAAUACAGGUUUUAAAUUGUUUUUCUUUUAAUGGCUCAAAACUACAGGUUUUAAAUUAUUUUUAUUUACACGUGGCACCAGAUCUAGACCCCCGGAUUUGAGGGAUGUCACAGUUGGUAUCAGAGCUACAGGUUAUAAGUUAUUGAAAUCAGAAUGUAGGUUGUAACUUGUCUAAUAAGAUAGACACGUUAAGUGAAACCUCACAUAUAGGUAAGUUCAGAUUAGUGGUGUAACCUCAUAUAGAGGUAUCGUAAGACUAUUUGGGGAUAGUCCUUUUGAGCAUAAUAAAAUGAAGCUAAACGAUUAUGUUUAAGUGAUUAUGGUUAUAGACACAACAAUUCCUAAUUCUAGUUCUUCCAGUCCCUAGUGGCCUAGUUUAUUGACCAAUUCAGAUUUAUAUCAUUGUAAGAGGGUCAAAGUUAGACCUAUCAACAGAACCUUCAAGCUAGAACCAGUAGAGAUUCUCACACAGUCUAAUGUAUCCUUUAUAGUAUCUUCCAAGUGUUGAGUAUUAUUUGAAGAGUCACCUUUUGAUUCUUGUCAGAGAUAUCUAGAAUUGGUGAAAGAAUAGAGGUGUUAACAAGUCCGAGUUUACAGCUUUGUAUAUAGUUAAGUAGUGAGCGUUAGAGCUACGUAGAGUUCGUGUUAGAUUAUUCGAUCUAGUACUUAUGUGUGAGUUAAGACGUCAACGCUCUAUGGUGAUGAUUGUAUAAAGUUGGAUAAGACUUUUGACCGACAACGAUAUCAAUGAUGGGAUCUUCAGAGGCUAUUACUAGUCAACGAUAAUAUAUGCAAGUGGUCACUAAAACGUCAAGAAGAAUCACUAGAAUCAGAACGAGUCAUCAAAAGAAUCGAUCAAGAAGACAUCUGUGAGAAUCCUGGCAAUACCUUCCUCAUUGUUGAUAUAUUGAUUUCUUUCCCCAUCAAUGAUUUGUUCUGACAUCACUUAAAAAAAAAAAUAUUUGAUAAAGAGUAUAUUUUUACCUUUCACUCGAGUUCUCGAAUGAUACUUGUGCUUACUGUCAGACCUAUAGAAUCUAUUCAAUCUUGGUAAUUUCGAACCCUUUCAUAUUCUCUACUCUAACUGAGAUGAACAACCCUACCUAUAGGGGACACAAGGACUACCUGUCUGUGUGAUAGGAGUUGGAUGGGACGCCAUCACUUGUGUGUGUUGUACAUUACAAGAAGGUUAACUACCUUUAGUAGUGUCUUAAAUUAGACACGCAACACCGAGUUCUAUAGACCAUAUUGAUCUCUCAGUUAUUCAUUUAUUUCAAUCACGUAACACUUGCUCCAAUAUGUGAAAUCUGUCAUAUCUUUUACCUUCAAGAUUCUUCUAAUCUCUAAUAGUUGGAGGUAUGCCAACCGAGUUGCCAAUAUGAAUUAAGACUUUGUAGUAAGAAGCACCAGGGAUGAAAGCGAAUGACAAUGCUGGUUAUAUCAGAAAGGAAUAUUAUGGAUUAUAGAGAUCGUACGCUCUAGUUUUCUUUUUGAUGAUUCCGAGGACGGAAUCUUUUUAAGGGGGGUAGAUUGUGACGACCCGGAUUUUCAGAAAUUAUUUUAUUAUUUUUAUUCAUGAUUAUUCGAGACAAAUGAGGAAUAAAUUUCAAUAUUUUAUUCUAGUUUGAUAAUUUUCAAAAAUAUUUGUUUAAAUUAUUUUCCUAGUCAUUGUGAUUAUGAGAAAAUAUCUGUUGAUUGUACAAUUAUAUGUUACGAGAUUUAAUUGAAUUAGUUGUCUACUAUUAUGUCUGUGUGUGCAUUUAUUUUUACUUUUAAUAUUACUGUAUUGUUUUAUUGAAAUUUAUUAUCCUCUUAAAUGGAUAUUUAUUUUUGUAAAAAUACAAAGAUAAUUUCAAAAAUUAUUUUAAUUGCUCGAUAGUGAUCAUAAAUAUGUUUAGAAGUUUUUAAAAUAUUAAAAAUCCAAUUUCUACAAGGACAUGAUUUUUAAUUAGUUUCUAAACGCAGCUAACUUCUUAAUUUUGUAUAAAUUUUGAAAAUGCUCUAUAAAUCUUGAAACUUUUAUUUUAUGAGUUUUAUAAUAUUCGGUAAUUUAUAAAAUUAGUUUGUUAAUUUUUCGAGAAAGUUUUAAUGCGAGUUAUCCCGUAAAUCAACUAAAUAGCGGGUGUUUGGAUGAUUAUUCAGCUUAAAAUAAAACGUGGCAGCCUUUGGCCAAACCACGUGCCCUGCUUUUCACCACCGCCAUCCCUUUUCUUCAUUUUAUAUACAUCAGCCUCUCAAUCUCUCUCUCUCUCUCUCUGUGAAAUCCUCCAUCUCUCCCUCUCCGCUCCUCUUUCUUUUCUCACCCAUCUUCCUCUCUUUCUUGGCAUCACCGUCCCUUCCCUGCAGCCGCCGAAUUAUGCCGCUGCCACCUCUUUCCGGCGACCACCAUAGCCCUGCACCAAUUAUAAAUCAGUGGGUAUAAAGCUUAAUUUCUCUUUGUCAAAUCAGUUCUAUAUAAACGUAUAUAUACAUGUGGUGUUGUGUUUAUAUGGUUUAAUUUGAUUUAUAUAAUCGAUUUAUGUGUGCUUGUAUGUAUAUAAACUGAUUAUAUGCUGGUUAUUGAAAUUUGAAGGUUGAUUGAAUUUUUGAGAUUGAGAUUGGUGUUAGUAAUCGUAUGAUUGAAUUGUGUGCUUAAUUGAUAUUUGAAUUGGUUGUUGGAGGUUCAUUAUAAAUGGUGCGCCAACUAGUAGUGUAAUCGGAUGACUUGGGUACUUGAUUUAUGGGAAUAUAUAACUGAGUAUUAAAGCUUUAAGGUCUGAGAUUUUGUGUAAAUGUUUUCAGAAUGGUGUUUUAAGAGUUUAAGUAUUGAGCUAAAAAAAAUUUAGAUUUACACAUAAUCGGUUGAAUUGUAAGUUGCUGCUGAUCUGUUUUGCAGUAAAAUUCUGGGCUUCUAGAGUCGAAUUAUAUGCUUAAUAUUUUUGUGGUUAUGUGCUCCUCAGAGUCUAGUUUAUGUGCGCAAAAGAAUCGAAUCAAUUCGAUUAGCGAGCUAGGAGAUAUGACCGUUUUAGUAUAGUAUGGUGCUGAAAAUUCUGGGCAGGUUUGUCCUGUUCCAGGCUCUGUUUUACAGCUUUAAACUUGGAUUUUCUUUCUGAAAAUUUUACUGUAGGUUGGAAUAAUAUUUAGGAGUGUCUCAUAAAAAUUUCGUAUUUAAAAGAUAAAUUUUCAAUUUAUUAAAAAUCAUAGACCGAGGGCUGUUUGAACUAUUUGUUCUAUUUUUCUUUCUUUGCUAGUGCAUAGUAUGAGGUUAUACUUGACUAAUUGCAUAUGAUUGAUUAUUACAUUGAUUGGCUCGGUUAACCUUGUAUAUCUAAUUAAAAGUGUUUUGCGUAUAACAAGUUAGCAAUCCUGCUAAAAGAUUUUAUUAUAUGUUUACUACAAGUCAAGACAGAUUUUCUUAUGUGUUUACUGCAAGUCAAGGGAUCUUUUUAUAUUAAUAAUUCAUGUGUUAGCAAUAGUAUUGGUUGGUUGUUGGCAUUGCAAACAGGUGGAUAAGCUUAUAAACAGAGGAGAUGCUGCCGAAUUUUCGUUAGAAAUUAUAUGGAUUUAAUGCCUAUAAAAAGGGUUGUUUGUACAACUAUGUGCUAUGUGUUUAUGUGACUGUGGUAUGUAUAUGCGAAGGGUAGAUAUAUAUAUAGGUCUUAAUGCAAUUCAGGGUUAGUCAAUAUGUCUAAUCCGACGACUGAAAUACUAUUUUAUCAUCGUAUAGAAUUGAAGACAUUGACCGAGGCAUUAAUCGAGAAGUGAUUGAAAGGGGUAUUCAGAAAUAGCCAAGCAGAAUGUUACAAGUUGAAGUAGGACGGAGAUUUGUUAUAGAUAAAAGUGUGUCAGAAGCUGGCAGAAAGGAAUGAUUAUGCGGUAUAUAGUGUUACUAGGAAUCUGAGCUAAACUUUGGAGUUAAGGCAAGUACUUCUACCUUCUCUCGCAAUUUAGAAGCAAGUAUUUCUACCCUACUCCUCUAGUACCUAUAGAUACUAAAACCUUCUUUAUAUCAUGAUUCAAAUUAUUUGCAAUUACUUUCUUGUGAAGCAUAUCUAGUACUUUUAAACCUUUUGGUUGAACGGAUAACACUUUUGGUAUCGACUCUACACUAUGAUAUGCAUAAAGAAAUUGUUUUAACAAAAUGUUGUUCUGGCUCUUGAAUUACAUGAUAGAACUGCAGAUUGUUUUAAAAAUUAAACUGUUGGGUUGUUUUUGCGUAAGAGGCUCGGGCACCGGCCCAGCGUGAAAGGUGGCUCCUUAAGCCCGGAUUACCGGAAUUCGUAAUAUUUGUCAACCUUGCUGAAUAAGCUUGGUUUAUGGACUAUAGCAUGACUGAUCAUCUGUUAUAGCCAGGUGUCCAAUUAAUUUUAAAGCCCAAUAAAAUUGUGAAUAGUUUAAAAAGAAGUUACCCUGCCUUCAAGAGAUAUUUGCUUAUACAUUCAUUUCUGCAUUUUUAAAUAUUUUCACUUCUUUAUUAUGGCAUUGCUGUACAACAAAUAUCAAUUUCAUUUUGUUAUUCUUGCUGAGCAUUAUUGCUCAUUCUUGCUAUUCCUUCUAACCCUUUUCAGCUAGGAAUAAAGAUGAUUCACUUAAGACUAUGCAACGAUUGCAAGAGGUUGAGUUUCAAGCAGAUGGACAGGUAGAGUAUUUAGGACGAUGUCAUUAAGACUAGAUGCAGUUGGAGUUCUGCAAUUCAAUUCAGUUGGAAAUUAGAUUUGUUUAUUUGGUUAUCAGCUACUCUUCUUAUCGAGGUUUAGCUGAUAAUGUAGUUUAAUUUGUAAAUAAGAUUUUAUAGUUUUAGUUUCUGAUUUCAAUGCUGUAGCCUGUAUGCGAUCCUGUUUUCAGGGGGUGAAAUUGAUUCUGAAUUAAAGACCUUCUUUUAAAAAAAUAAUAUCCAGGUUUAGAAAUACUUGUUUUUACUUUCUUCCAAAAAUACAGGUUUUAAAUUGUUUUUCUUUUAAUGGCUCAAAACUACAGGUUUUAAAUUAUUUUUAUUUACACGUGGC
rnacentral:lncRNA from 1 species